CAGUGGAAGAAUUCUCUUUCAUUAUGCAUGAUUGCAACAUGCUUUAAAUGGUCUGACGAGGACACGCUCCACCAAGAUCUCAGGAUUUCCUGGAGUCUUCUGCAGUGAGAAGGACGCUCACUUCUAUUUUGGGUGAACAACUGCUUGUGGCACCAAUUGAGUUCCUGAGGAAGUAAUUACUCACCCAGUGAGGUGCAUGACAAUGAGUGGGCUGAACCCACUCUCAACUGGUAUGAAUGAAGAGCAGGGGAUAUGCCAGCAAGCACUCAGAACUGAACUCGCAGACAGAGAAGCCCUUGAAAAUUAAAAGAAGAGAGAGAUGAGCACUAUCUCGAUCUAAAGACUUUGAAUGGACUGCAGACUGGCUUGCCCAACUUUACUGAAGCCUUAUUGAAGAAACUUCAGGUGAAUGGCCAUGUGUCUUUUUCUCUCCGGAUCCUAGAAGUUCUCAGUUUCUGAACUAAGCUUCUGCUAUAGAUUCCACUGGGUCCUUGCCUGUCCCUCUCCGAAACCUGAAGAGAAUUCAGGAAUUCUGCCAAAGCCCUGGGGUUAUUUGAAAGUACAAGAAGAGUCUGCCUGGGAUUCCCCUUUCUUAUAGUUUCAUUUUGAGUGUAAUAUGUUAGAAAGAUAAUUUACAGAAAAUACACUUUAAAAGGAAGAUAUGGGGGUGUUAUUUAUAAAAGAAGAAUGAUACUUGUAUUGGCAAGAUGUGUGACUCUUAAUAAAUCAUUUUA